ACCGAAGUUUGAACCGUUUAGACUUGACAACAGGUUGAAUUGGCGAAUCUCUGGAAGAAAUAACGAGGAGCUGAAUGUCGAGCUGCUCGACCUGUCAAGCGAAGUUCUACUUUAAUCACCGAGACUGCACUCGGCCGCUCUCGGAACGGUUCCGUCCCUCCUUCCUCCUCUUCCUCCUGCUGGGUUUUAUGCGACGACGACCCGGAGACUGCGGGAGCCGGAGGAAACGAGGAUGAGCAAAGCGGGCGAAGAGACGUCGUCGUGGGAGAAACUGGACGCGGAGUUCGACCAUCACCUCGUCGACAUGAAGCCCUUCGUGCUCAAGCUGCCGCACAAAUCAGAGCGCCAGCGCUGCGCGCUGUGGAUCAAGAAGCUGUGCGACCCCGCGGCUGUGGGCGCGAGCCUCGCCGCGCGCAAGAACAGGAACGUGCACUCGCGGCUGCUCCUGCGCAUGCUCAGAAGAGGCGUUCUCGAGGGGCCCUUCGCUCACAAACCCGAGCCCGGCGGCCUCAAACCCCUGCCCACCUACAUGUCCAUCUACUUUGAUGAGCCCUUACGUGGGAGGUCUCCAGAUACGGGCGCCGCGGACCUGCCCUCCUGGGUGUCCGGGGAGCUGGAUGGCACCGACGCGGACUGGACGCCCCGGGCGAGGGAGGGAGCGACGCCCCCCACCUCGUCCCCAUACGUCCCCAGGAGAAGGCACACGUACGAAGAUGAGCUGCCGUCGCCGGAAGGGGCGCCCGCAACUCCGACGCGCUCCUGCCACGCUGAGAAUCACGACAGCGGUCGGCACAAAGCGCUUGCGGCGGCAUCCAGCAGCAGCGACGGUGAUGCGCUUCUCAACAGUUGGAACCUGGGGAUUGAGAAGCCCAGGUACUUGAGGGAGACGCCCAUCCCCCUCUCUCCGAUUUACCUCAAAUCCAGCCUUGGAAGAAAUAACAGCAUCUAUGAAGAGCAGCCCUCAGGCCGCACACAUGAGAAGGAGGCUGAGAUGAAGGUCAAGGUGCUGGAGGCCCGACACCAGGAAGAGAAGCUGAAGAUGCAGCAGAAGCAUGACUCGGCUGUGCAGAAGAUCUUGGACAGAAAGAACAGUGAGAUCGAGGAGCUGAAGACCAUGUACAGGAAGAAGCAGAAGGACUCGGAGGAAACCAUUCGCCGGCUCGAGAAGAAAGCGCAGGGCCUGGUUCGGGAGUCGCAGGUGGUCCGCCAGAGCAAGGAGAAGCAGAUUGACGAGCUGAAGAAGAUGUCUGAGCAGAGUGCCGACUCGCUGAGGAGCGACUGGGAGAAGAAGCUCCAUGCAGCCGUGGCGAAGACGGAACAAGAGAAGUUUGAGCUGCAGAAGAAGCACACAGAAAGCAUCCAGGAGCUGCUAGAAGACACCAACCAGCGCCUGGCCAAAAUGGAGUCAGAGUACGCGGCACAGAUGCAGGCCACCGAGAAAAUGGUGAAGGAGCUGGAAACGCGGGUGAAGCAGCUCUCCGUGGAGGUCGAGCACGGCAACACCCUGCGGCUGAAGGUGAGCCAAGAGAAGACCGAGCUGGAGGUCCAGAUCGCAUCCAUCAGCUCUGAGCUGCAGGAGGCCAACCGUAGGUGUGUGUCUCUCACGCGGGAGAAGGAGCAGCUCAUCGAGCAGCAUGACCAGACGCUGCAGAAGAUGCAGGCGAAGCACGAUGCUGAUAUGAGCCACUACCAACAGGAGCACAUGCUCUCUGCCGCUAAGGCAUCGGAGGUGAUGAAGGAAAUGGAGCAUUUGGUGUCACAGCUCAGACAGCAGCUGCAGGACAGCGAGCACAAGCGGCAGAAGCAGCUCAGGGAUCGAGAAAGUCAGUUUCAGCAGGAGAAAUUGGACCUUCAACACGCCAGUGACAAAAAGGUUCGAUUGUUGCAGAAUGAGCUGGAGGCGGAUCGCACCGAGGCCAAGAAGAAGAUGACCAGGCUGGAGGACGCCCUCAGGGAGAAAGAUGAGCAGCUGGCACAGCUGUGGGGGAGGCAGAAGCAGCAAGCCCUGCAGGCAGAAGAUGCCCUGGAGCAGCUCCGGAGGCAAGCUGAGCUCAGCGCGGAGAAGGCCUACGCAGACACGAAGCAGCAGAUGGAGAAGGUGGAGGCAGACCUGGACCGGUCCAAAGCGCUGCGUGAGCAACAAGCCAAGGAGUUCUCUAAGCAGCUAGAGGAGCUUAAGCAGCGAUAUGAGGAGCAGAUUGUGGAGCUGAAACUGCAGCACGAACAGGAGAGGACGCACCUCUUCCAGCAGCACAGUACCGAGAAGGACAGCCUGGUCCGGGACCACCAGCGGGAAAUCGACAAUUUGGAGCGCCAGUCGAGGGCCGCCAUGCUGCAGCACCAAGAGCAGACCCAGGAGUGGAGGGAGCGGGACAGCCAGAACUUGGCGACAAUGGAGGCCCAGGUGCAGGCCCUGCGGGAGGAGCUGCGGCAGGCGCACACGCAACGCAAGCAGCAGCUGAUGGAGCUGGGCCUCCUGCGCGAGGAGGAGCGGCAGCGUGCUGCCAGGGACCAGGAAGCUGCGCUGGGCCGCCUGCGGGCCGAGAUGGACCGGGCCCGACUGGACCUGGAGCGAACCCACGCAGCUGAGAGGGAGCUGGCUGCCGAGAAGGCCAACAGCAGACUGAAGCAGAUUGAGAAGGACUACAGCCAAAAGCUGGAGAAGUCCUCCCAGAUUAUCGCAGACCUGCAGUCCAGCAUCGCUGCAGUCAGGGAGGAGGGACGGCGGUUGCAGCAGGGAGCACAGCAUCAGCUGCUGGAGGCGGAGUCUCGGUGGGAGGCAGAAAGGCGGAGACUGACCGGCGAGGCAGAUGUCACCACCAAGGCUUUGAAUGAGAAGGUAGAGAACCUACAGAGGCAGUUUCAUGCUGCAGAGAAGAAGCUGAUGAACAAGGAGUUGGAGAACCAGGAACAGGGUUUACCGUUUGGAAUUCAAACCGUUUCUCACCUGUUUGUGUCGUGUGUGGUUUGAGGCAGUGAUGUACCUGUCGAGGUUUCGAUCUCCUCAUUGUACCCAUCAGGCUCCUGUCACGUUCCCAUCCUGAAAGGCUCCCGCACACCCUCCGAUCCCUACAUUAGCGCACAUCAAGCCCUCCGCAAUGUGACAAACUCUGUUUGAAUUAUCAAAGCGCCGGGACCCCCGCUUCUUCCAGCUGGCAGCUGUCAAAAAUGUCAACGCGAGGCGCGCGAAGCAGGAGGAAGGUACAUCGAAGCACCAUUUAUAGGCUAUAUAUAGCUGAAAUGUCACUUUGAGAAGAAGAAACAAUCUCUUUCUUGCUGUGAAGUGGUUUAUCUGAAGGGGAAAAUAAAAAAUUUAAAAAAAAAAAAAAAACGUAAGAUUUAAAUGAUGUUUGCUUAAGCCGUGAAAUUUUCAUUUAACACCCCUAGUCUCGUUUCUCUAGUAAGCCCCGUUUCAAAUCUGAAGAGCCCGGUUGCAUUUUUGGUGCCACCUCUCCUUGAGUUUACAUGCAGUUGCGUCACGUCGAGAACAACAAGCUUUGUUUAAUGGAGAUGUUCUGAGGAAGGUAGGGCGAGUAAACAGCCCCUUGACAUGGAGUGAGUAUCCCCAACAUACAUGUAAUAAACGGUGGGCUUCCUUGGUAUGUGGCGCAUGCGGCGACUGGGGCGUACCAGGGUAACUGUUGGAGCCAUGGUUGGGACACCCUGUUGAGCUAGUCGCACCGUCCUGCUUGAAAUGGCAGUACGGUAAAUAAUCACGACAACGUAAACGUCUGAACGCUGACUCUACGGUUAGCCGAAGCCUCGAGUUGCAGCCACGAGAACAUACGUGGCCAGAUGGACGAGGCAGGUUCGGCGAUUGACAAGCAGCACUCUGCGAUUCGCCGAGCGUGAAACGCGACUCCUCGGCUGCAUCCGCCCAGGCGGCGCCGGGGGAUCCAGGGGCCGCUCUCGUUUUCGUGCGGGUCACCAUGGUGAAGGUGUGAUCUGCCAAGGGAGGAAAGAUCUUUCAUCACCUUUUUUAUCUGUUGCAGGCAGAAUUGGAACGCAGGUGGAGCUGCGACACGGCUUGCCUGUCUGUGGAAAUCACAGCGGCAGAAGGUUCCCUCGCUUGCAUAUCAAAAGCAUGCUUAUUUUUUGCUGCAUGAUGAAAAGGGCAUGUGUCUCCCACGAAGACGUAGAGGGGACAUUGGAAAGGAGGCACAGAGGCGUAGAUCGCCCACCUGCAGCUGUUUUAACAUGGCAGCUGCGAAGAGCAGUUUGAUGCAUCGCCUAGGCAUGGUGAUUUAAUGUAGUGGCCCUAAUUGAGGAUGCGGCCAGGUAGGGCACCUUGCCCUCGGCGCUCAUCUCUUGAAGAGGCCCACCUCCGGGACUGAAAUGAUCACACGCGUUCGACAGGAGUGCGAGAUGAAGAUCAAGGGGCUGAUGCCGG